rnacentral:rRNA from 1 species
AUUGAACGCUGGCGGCAGGCCUAACACAUGCAAGUCGAACGGUAACAUGCACCCGCUUGCUGUUUCGCUGACGAGUGGCGGACGGGUGGGCAGUGUCUGGGAAACUGCCUAAUGUAGGGGGCUAACUACUGGAAACGGUAGCUACAACCGCAUAACGUCCCAAGCACAAUGUGCGGGACCUUCUGGCCUCUUGCCACCCUUUCUGCCCAGAUGGGAUUAGCUAGUCGGUGGGGUAACGGCUCACCGAGGCGACGAUCCAUAGCUGGUCUGAGAGGCUGACCGGCCACACUGGAACUGAGACACGGUCCAGACUCCUACGGGAGGCAGCAGUGGGGAAUAUUGCACAAUGGGCGCAAGCCUGAUGCAGCCAUGCCGCGUGUAUGAAGAAGGUCUUCGGGUUGUAAAGUACUUUUAGCGGGGAGGAAGGGAGUAAAGUGAAUACCUUCGCUCAUUGACGGUACCCGAAGAAGAAGCCCCGGCUAACUACGUG